UUUGCGCGGGCCGGGUCACCAGUGGCUUUGCCGGGGGAAGGGGAGAGGGAGAAGGAGAGGGGAAGGCAGACGUUUGCAUGGCAGUGAACGUUUGGCUGUGUUCAGCCUGACGUCCUCCUCGGCACUCACCAAGCAAGUCGCUGCAGUUGUUUUUUUUAUUAUUAUAUAUAAAUAUAUAAAAAAAAAAUCUUCCUGGGACCUAUUAUUUCCCGGCGUCCUGCAAGCCGCUAUCUAUCUCAGUCUUUUCAGCUGGCACGGAUGCGGAGUUUUUUAUAUCCAGAAAUUUCCACUAUAACCGCCUUUUUAAAGCCUUAACCUCCAGAGAGAGAGAGAGAGAGAGGAGGACAGGGGGAAGGGAAGGAACAACAACAGGAGGCCGCCCAGCAACCAGGAGGAGGAGGAGGCCGAGUGUCUGCGGUUCCUGAUGCUGUGUAAAAUUUUGGAAAUCCAUUCCAAUAGAGGAUUGUGAGUGGACCUACACCCGUUGGACUGUAUUGUUCAAGAAGCUGGUUUACCAUUGCCACCUUGAAGGCAAUCAGACAUGGAUAAUGGAUGCUGAUCCUGCUAGAAGCACCCACCCUCUACCAAUGAAUGAUGUAUAAUAAGAAAAAUUGGGUUGCUUCCUGGCAGGUUGUUAAGCUGUUCUCCCUGUGGGUGCUGCAGAAUUGUUUAGUACUGACAUCAUUACACCCUUUGCUGAAUCAGAGAUUUUGCAGUUCUUGAAGCUGAGCUUAUAAAACGUGGUUUUGCUUCAUACAUGCAAGACUGAUGUCCAGCCUUUGGUCAGCUUUACCACAUGCCUAGUGACCGAAGGUGACGUGAAACAUACAUCCUUAAUUUUGUCCGGAGUCUUCAGAAUGUGUUGCUAGCCUAUUCAUGAAAGGCUUACGCUGUAAUGACCUGAUGUUUAAGUGGGACUGAAGAUGAGUAUUAGCAGUGAUGAGGUCAACUUUCUGGUAUAUAGAUAUUUGCAAGAGUCUGGUUUUUCCCAUUCAGCAUUCACAUUUGGUAUAGAGAGUCACAUCAGUCAGUCCAAUAUUAAUGGUGCCCUCGUGCCACCAGCAGCUCUCAUCUCGAUCAUACAGAAAGGUUUGCAGUAUGUGGAGGCCGAAGUCAGUAUCAAUGA